rnacentral:rRNA from 1 species
CGGGACGGGUGAGUAAUGUCUGGGAAACUGCCUGAUGGAGGGGGGUAACUACUGGAAACGGUAGCUAAUACCGCAUAACGUCGCAAGACCAAGAGGGGGACCUUCGGGCCUCUUGCCAUCGGAUGUGCCCAGAUGGGAUUAGCUAGUAGGUGGGGUAACGGCUCACCUAGGCGACGAUCCCUAGCUGGUCUGAGAGGAUGCCAGCCACACUGGAACUGAGACACGGUCCAG